rnacentral:rRNA from 1 species
GGGCAAUGCGGGAGCUACACAUGCAAGUCGAACGGGAUUGAGAGCUUGCUCUCAUGAGAGUGGCGCACGGGUGAGUAACGCGUAUGCAACCUGCCUGUAACAGAGGGAUAGCCCAUAGAAAUGUGGAUUAAUACCUCAUAGUCCUGAGAAGUCGCAUGGCUUUUCAGGUAAAACUCCGGUGGUUACAGAUGGGCAUGCGUGACAUUAGCUAGUUGGUAAGGUAACGGCUUACCAAGGCAACGAUGUCUAGGGGUUCUGAGAGGAUGAUCCCCCACACUGGUACUGAGACACGGACCAGACUCCUACGGGAGGCAGCAGUGAGGAAUAUUGGUCAAUGGGCGCAAGCCUGAACCAGCCAUCCCGCGUGCAGGAUGACGGCCCUAUGGGUUGUAAACUGCUUUUAUACAGGAAGAAAAAUCUCCACGUGUGGGGACUUGCCGGUACUGUAUGAAUAAGCAUCGGCUAACUCCGUGCCAGCAGCCGCGGUAAUACGGAGGAUGCAAGCGUUAUCCGGAUUCAUUGGGUUUAAAGGGUGCGUAGGCGGCUCUUUAAGUCAGUGGUGAAAUCCUGCCGCUUAACGGUAGAAUUGCCAUUGAUACUGAAGAGCUUGAGUACAAUUGAGGUAAGCGGAAUGUGUAGUGUAGCGGUGAAAUGCUUAGAUAUUACACAGAACACCAAUUGCGAAGGCAGCUUACUAAACUGUUACUGACGCUGAUGCACGAAAGCGUGGGGAGCGAACAGGAUUAGAUACCCUGGUAGUCCACGCCGUAAACGAUGAUCACUCGCUGUAUGCGAUACACAGUAUGCGGCCAAGCGAAAGCAUUAAGUGAUCCACCUGGGGAGUACGAUCGCAAGGUUGAAACUCAAAGGAAUUGACGGGGGCCCGCACAAGCGGAGGAACAUGUGGUUUAAUUCGAUGAUACGCGAGGAACCUUACCUGGGCUUAAAUGGGGAACGACAGCUGCCGAAAGGUGGCCUUCUUCGGACGUUCUUCAAGGUGCUGCAUGGUGUCGUCAGCUCGUGCCGUGAGGUGUCGGGUUAAGUCCCAUAACGAGCGCAACCCUUAUCGUUAGUUGCCAGCGGGUCAGCGGGGACUCUAGCGAGACUGCC